rnacentral:rRNA from 1 species
CGAGUGGCGAACGGGUGAGUAACGCGUGAGGAACCUGCCUCAAAGAGGGGGACAACAGUUGGAAACGACUGCUAAUACCGCAUAAGCCCACGACCCGGCAUCGGGAAGAGGGAAAAGGAGCAAUCCGCUUUGAGAUGGCCUCGCGUCCGAUUAGCUAGUUGGUGAGGUAACGGCCCACCAAGGCGACGAUCGGUAGCCGGACUGAGAGGUUGAACGGCCACAUUGGGACUGAGACACGGCCCAG